UGCGUUUGGAGUGCUGCAUCCGUUGUCCUUCAUCUCGUCGUCGGAUUCGAACUCUGUAACGAUGCUAAGGAAAACUAGAUAUGAGAGGCCACUUUUUUGGAGCCCUACUGCAGAGGCUUUUUUGCUAGAGAGAUUAUACGAAUAUCACGACGAUAACCACGGUCGCCUACCAGAAUCUCGUCACAAUAAUCAAUGGGCAUCAGAAAUGGAAUGCUUUUUUUAUGGCUAUGUUCCUGAUGGUGAGCGUCUUAGGGAGAAAUGCCGACAAUUGGGUAAGGUAUACGCCGCGUACAAAAUGUUACAAAGUCAUACAGGAGUAGGAUGAGAUUCGACCACUACAACUUUCACCUGUUCCGAGGAGCUGCAGAAAGAUCUUUGUAAGAGAAAUCACAAUGUGAAAACAUUGUUUACUAAUGGAUGGA